rnacentral:tRNA from 2 species
GCGGCCGUCGUCUAGCCUGGAAGGACACUGGCCUUCCGAGCCAGUGAUCCCGGGUUCAAAUCCCGGCGGCCGCA